rnacentral:lncRNA from 1 species
CUUGUUAACCGUCGUUAGGACCUCUAGUUUGGAUUGCAUCUCAUUUAAUUGAUUUUUAAUCUCUGCCUGAUUAGAUCUAAAUUCUGCAGUCAUGAAGUCUCUUGAGUCCUUUAUGCUUUUUUCUAGAGCCACCAGUAGCUUAUAAUUGUGCUUGAAUUGGGUUUCUGACAUUGAAUUGUAAUCCAAAUUUUGUAACUCUGUGGGAGAGAGGACUGUUUCUGAUUCUUUCUUUCUUUUUUUAAUAAUAAAUUUAUUUUUUAUUGGUGUUCAAUUUGCCAACAUACAGAAUAACACCCAGUGCUCAUCCCGUCAAGUGCCCCCCUCAGUGCUUGUCACCCAUUCACCCCCACACCCCGCCCUCCUCCCCUUCCAUCACCCCUAGUUCGUUUCCCAGAGUUAGGAGUCUUUAUGUUCUGUCUCCCUUUCUCAUAUUUCCCACACAUUUCUUCCCCCUUCCCUUAUAUUCCCUUUCACUAUUAUUUAUAUUCCCCAAAUGAAUGAGAACAUACAAUGUUUGUCCUUCUCCAAUUGACUUGUUUCACUCAGCAUAAUACCUUCCAGUUCCAUCCACGUUGAAGCAAAUGGUGGGUAUUUGUCGUUUCUAAUGGCUGAGGAAUAUUCCAUUGUACACAUAGACCACAUCUUCUUUAUCCACUCAUCUUUCAGUGGACACCGAGGCUCCUUACACAAUUUGGCUAUUGUGGACAUUGCUGCUAGAAACAUCGGGGUGCAGGUGUCCCGGUGUUUCAUUGCAUCUGAGUCUUUGGGGUAAAUCCCCAGCAGUGCAAUAGCUGGGUCUUAGGGCAGGUCUAUUUUUAACUCUUUGAGGAACCUCCACACAGUUUUCCAGAGUGGCUGCACCAGUUCACAUUCCCACCAACAGUGCAAGAGGGUUCCCUUUUCUCCGUAUUCUCUCCAAAAUUUGUGGUUUCCUGCCUUGUUAAUGUUCCCCAUUCUCACUGGUGUGAGGUGGUAUCUCAUUGUGGUUUUGAUUUGUAUUUCCCUGAUGGCAAGUGAUGCGGAGCAUUUUCUCAUGUGCAUGUUGGCCAUGUCUAUGUCUUCCUCUGUGAGAUUUCUCUUCAUGUCUUUUGAGAUUCUUUCAUUUGAGGUGAGUUUUUCCUUCUAGUCAUUUUUCUCAGUGCAGAGUGGAGAAAA